rnacentral:rRNA from 1 species
AGAGUUUGAUCAUGGCUCAGAACGAACGCUGGCGGCGUGGAUAAGACAUGCAAGUCGAACGGGAAACACGAGUUAGCCUUGCUUUGGGGUUCUAGUGGCGGACGAGCGAGUAACACGUGAGCAACCUGCCCGAAAGUGGGGGAUAGCCCGAGGAAACUCGGAUUAAUACCGCGUAUGGUCUAGCAGGGCAUCCUGCGAUGAUUAAAGGUGGCUUCGGCUGCCGCUUUCGGAUGGGCUCGCGGCCUAUCAACUUGUUGGUGAGGUAACGGCUCACCAAGGUUACGACGGGUAACUGGUCUGAGAGGAUGAUCAGUCGCGCUGGAACUGAGACACGGUCCAGACACCUACGGGUGGCAGCAGUCGAGAAUCAUUCACAAUGGGCGAAAGCCUGAUGGUGCGACGCCGCGUGGAGGAUGAAGGUCCUAGGACUGUAAACUCCUGUCAUCAGAGAGUAAAGCACAGGCGUUAAUAGCGGCGAGGUCUGAUAGUAUCUGAAGAGGAAGGGACGGCUAACUUCGUGCCAGCAGCCGCGGUAACACGAAGGUCCCAAGCGUUGUUCGGAAUUACUGGGCGUAAAGCGUGCGUAGGCGGCGGGGUAAGUCAGAUGUGAAAUCUCCGGGCUCAACCUGGAAACUGCAUCCGAUACUGCCUUGCUUGAGUAGUGGAGGGGCAUCUGGAAUUCACGGUGUAGCAGUGAAAUGCGUAGAUAUCGUGAGGAACACUAGUGGCGAAGGCGAGAUGCUGGACAUUUACUGACGCUGAGGUACGAAGGCCAGGGUAGCGAAAAGGAUUAGAUACCCUUGUAGUCCUGGCAGUAAACGGUGCUCGCUUGGUGUGGGGAGGUUCGACCCUCUCCGUGCCGGAGCUAACGCGUUAAGCGAGCCGCCUGGGGAGUACGGCCGCAAGGCUAAAACUCAAAGAAAUUGACGGGGACCCGCACAAGCGGUGGAGUAUGUGGCUUAAUUCGAUGCAACGCGAAGAACCUUACCUAGGCUUGACAUGCUUAUCGUAUCCCUAUGAAAGUAGGGAGUCAGUUCGGCUGGAUAUGCACAGGUGCUGCAUGGCUGUCGUCAGCUCGUGUCGUGAGAUGUUGGGUUAAGUCCCGCAACGAGCGCAACCCUUGUGUCCUGUUGCCAGCGAGUAAUGUCGGGGACUCUGGACAGACUGCCGUGCUUAAACCGGAGGAAGGUGGGGAUGACGUCAAGUCAGUAUGGCCCUUAUGCCUAGGGCUGCACACGUACUACAAUGCCCAGUACAAUGUGAUCCGAUCCCGCGAGGGGGAGCUAAUCCCAUAAAACCAGUCGUAGUCCGGAUCGCAGUCUGCAACUCGACUGCGUGAAGUCGGAAUCGCUAGUAAUCGUGGAUCAGAAUGUCACGGUGAAUACGUUCCCGGGUCUUGUACACACCGCCCGUCACACCAUGGGAGCGGGUUCUGCCAGAAGUAGUUAGCUUAACCGCAAGGAGGGCGAUUACCACGGCAGGGUUCGUGACUGGGGUGAAGUCGUAACAAGGUAACCGUAA